rnacentral:rRNA from 1 species
UACGAAGGGGGCUAGCGUUGCUCGGAAUCACUGGGCGUAAAGGGUGCGUAGGCGGGUCUUUAAGUCAGGGGUGAAAUCCUGGAGCUCAACUCCAGAACUGCCUUUGAUACUGAGGAUCUUGAGUACGGGAGAGGUGAGUGGAACUGCGAGUGUAGAGGUGAAAUUCGUAGAUAUUCGCAAGAACACCAGUGGCGAAGGCGGCUCACUGGCCCGGUACUGACGCUGAGGCACGAAAGCGUGGGGGAGCAAAACAGG